UAAGAGUAAUUAAUAAUAUUAUUUAUUUACAAUAAAUAAGGCCCGUUAAUAUUCGGGACUUUUAA
rnacentral:tRNA from 1 species